UGGCCACAGAGGAAGGGAAGGAGAAAUUCCGCUGAAACUGAUUCACAGAGGUUGCCGGUGGGCGAGGAGUUCCGCUUUGCUUUGUGAUGGUCACGCAGAACGGCUCUUUGGGCUGAAACUUCCUCAAUUUUGUCACUUGUAAAAACGCUUUGUUGGGGCAGGAGAAUCGCCACGUUCAGGAAGCCCUACUGGACCUCGUCACUGUCCAGAGGAGUCCACAUUUGUAUUGCCAGGGGAAAGCUAUUGGAAUUCCAAUAAAUUCAGUCCAGUCUACCACUUCCAGUGCAAACCACGGUCAAAGAAUCUAUGACAUACAAGCUUCUUGGAUUGAGUUUAUGAGUAAAUUAAUGUCACACCUCGCUGAGGACAGCCCUGAAAGGCAAGGGAAUCCUGCCCGUCUGGAUUCAAGCAGGCUCAACUGGUCCAACAGCUGCAGAUUCGGGAGACAGCUGUGCCAAUGUCUGGGGUUCAGGUUGAAAGUGAACAGCAACAGGGAAAGAACUUUUCAUUCCAUCGGAACUCAAGUGGCAAAAUUAAGAAAAAAUAUAUCGAGAGAGGUUCUUUCCAGUACUGGACAGAGGCUUCCUACCUAAACACCUUCGGGAAAGUCCUGUUUACAGACGGCACAACUAGCAUCAUAGCAAACAAAAUGAGGCUUUGAGUUUCAAAACUGGGGCAGCCUUCAAAUCUUUUUUAGCGGACAGGAUUCCUGUGGAGAAAUCAUUCCAGAGACCUUCCCACCCAGGCAAAGCUGUUUUGCAUUUAUUCUUGGAAACGUAUCUGAUACAAGAGAGUAAAACAUACUUUUGGAUGGCAGCCAGGACUGAUUCUUCUAACAAUUUGCUAAAAGCCACAUUGACUGGUAAAGGAAGGAAACGUGGUGAAGGACUCCCGGAAUUCUUUUGAUGAGACAUUCUACCUAGGCAAGUUUUUUAGAUAGCUAAUUCUUACAUUGUCAUAGAUUCUUUUUAACUUUUACUAAAUGGUUAUGGAGCCAUUGCUCAGGAAUAUACUGAUCCAAUUUCGUCUUUGUGGACCUCCCUUCACCUCAGGGCUGCAGAGGGGCUGAGGGUCAUGCAGUGCCCAGGCCUCUGCUUUGCACAUCUGGAUGGCCUAUGCUUAGUCUUAUUUUUCGGGUCUCCUGGGGUCCCCCCACAUCCUUGUUUAUCUCUCCUCUAGCCACUCUAUUGGCAUAUUCUAAUACCACUCAAGAGAACCA